GCGGGUUCGAAUGGGGUGGGAAACGUAGCGUGGCGCCAGGUUGCGGGUUCGAAUGGGGAUGGAAGGUUGCGGGUUCGAAUGGGGGUGGGAAACAUAGCGUGGCGCCAGGCUGUGGGUUCAAGUGUGGGUGAGAAAAGUAGCGCGGCGCCGGGUUGCGGGUUCGAAUGGGGAUGGAAGGUUGUGGGUUCGAAUGGGGUGGGAAAUGUAGCGCAGCGCCGGGUUGCGGGUUCAGGAGGCGAA